rnacentral:misc_RNA from 1 species
UAAUAAGUGUUUUAUGGCACUUUUUAAAUCCAUAUCCACCUUGUGUGCAAUGUCAGUCGAUCUUCUUCAUGGAGAUCGACCAAACAUCAACCUUUAUCUUUUAACUCUUUGUCUGAAAGAUAUUAUGAAUAAACAAUUCAAAAUA